AUACAAGAACAAUAUGUACAGGAAUUGUUGAUGAAACUGAAUGGUAUAUAUGGCAAUGUUUCUUCGCAGUUUCCCUUACCUUCACAGGAACCUACUCAUCCAUACCAGCCCGGUGACAAGGUGUAUAUCCGUCAGCUGAACAGGACCAAGAAAGGAGGAUACCCUUUUGGACCACCUGCUACUGUGAUUGCUGUAACCAGAACCGCUGUCCUCACAGAUUCCCACGACAUCUGGAUUCACGCAUCCCGAGUGAAGCUGUGUCCAAAGAGGGGAGCCAAGGAAGACAACACCACUCCUCGCUCGGAAACAGAAGAAGUCCCCCUUAGCGAAGCAUCAUGGCUUUUACACCAUAUCGUAGAUUGAGAGGAUCAUACGUACCUGAGACCAAGAUUAUGUUGUGUGCUAUGCUUUCUGGAGUUGUUAUACUCCCUCUGAUAUUGUUCCUUGAAUGCCAUUAUGAGUACAAGUCAAUGGCAAGUUCUGGAAAAAGACUCUGACAUGAUGAACAAUUCUUCAAUACCCCCAGCCCAAUUAGGCCUUAGCCCCUCAUCUAGCAUUCGUCACACACGCCCCCUCAAGAACCUUUCUCCACCACCUUUCUAUCAGCAUGUAAUAUGCAAUCAUUCAUUCACUGAACGCAUUUGGAUGAAUUGGAUAAAUAAUAACCCUUAUAAGUACCAGUUACCCAUAUGGAAUGUGUCUACAGCUAAUGAAACCGAUGCAUUAUGUUUGUUUAAAGGUUCACAGAAAAUUGUUAGAUCUUAUAACGCAGAAAUGUGCACAGUUAAGGUUGCAUAUCAAUGUAAACAGACAGGCCUUAUUACUUUUAAUAAUGAUUAUAUAACUGGUAUCAUUAAUCGGAGAAGGGGACAAAUGUUAGUCAUUAUGAACGACACUGCAAUUGAGAACUAUACACUACCUUAUAUUUUUACACCUUACUGUCCUUUAUCCUCUACCAUAGAACCAAAAGUCAAACACGACACAGACACACCUAUUCCGUCCACAUGUGUUAAUACAACUGCCUUCUUACAAGCUGUACAUGUGUCAUUAAAAAUCACUACUCUUGUUGUAACAUUAUGUAAUACAACAAACAAAGGCAGAAAAGGGAAUGGUAUGACACACUGUUAGAUGGUGCUGGAACCACUAUGGGUAUACUAAAUAGUUAUAGAUAUGGAGACCCUCAAGAAUAAGUUAAACACAGCCAGCAUGCAUAUAGGGACUGGUUUCCAUGCUACUGCAAACUGGGCUCCAAUUGUUGUUAAAUCACAGGUUACAGGAUUGGAUUUAGAUAAAUCAAUGUAUAAUUAUUUAGAUAAUUUAACUGUUGCAACUAUGAAAUUCACUACAGGUCUAAGU